GAAAUGCGAUAAGUAGUGUGAAUUGCAGAAUUCAGUGAAUCAUCGAAUCUUUGAACGCACAUUGCGCCCCUUGGUAUUCCAUGGGGCAUGCCUGUUCGAGCGUCAUUUGUACCUUCAAGCUUUGCUUGGUGUUGGGUGUUUGUCUCGCCUCUGCGCGCAGACUCGCCUCAAAACAAUUGGCAGUCGGCGUAUUGAUUUCGGAGCGCAGUACAUCUCGCGCUUUGCACUCAUAACGACGACGUCCAAAAAGUACAUUUUUUACACUCUUGACCUCGGAUCAGGUAGGGAUACCCGCUGAACUUAAGC
rnacentral:misc_RNA from 1 species